CAGGAUAGGUGGGAGGCAGUGAAAAUAGUCUUGCGGGAUUAUUAGAGCUAACGGUGAGAUACCACUCUAGUAAAGAUAAAAUUCUAACUCUAUACCGUUAUCCGGAUAGAGAACAGUUUCAAGUGGGCAGUUUGACUGGGGCGGUCGCCUCCUAAAAGGUAACGGAGGUGUGCAAAGGUUCCCUCAGGCUGGUUGGACAUCAGUCGAAGAGUGUAAAGGCAUAAGGGAGCUUGACUGCGAGACCCACAAGUCGAGCAGAGACGAAAGUCGGCCUUAGUGAUCCGACGGUUCCGAGUGGAAGGGCCGUCGCUCAACGGAUAAAAGUUACUCUAGGGAUAACA
rnacentral:rRNA from 1 species